rnacentral:piRNA from 1 species
ACCAUUCCUGGAUAACAGAGCCUACCCUCAA